CAGAUCCCCACCCCUAAACCAUAUAUAUUCUUGUAGGGGACAAUAAAACAAAUCAAAUGAAAUAAAAGGGAAGUCCCUAGGGGGUCACCCCACCCCCUCUAGGUUGACAACUUGUAAACGGUCCAGAUCCCCACCCCUAAACCAUAUAUAUUCUUGUAGGGGACAAUAAAACAAAUCAAAUGAAAUAAAAGGGAAGUCCAUAGGGGGUCACCCCACCCCCUCUAGGUUGAAAACUUGUAAACGGUCCAGAUCCCCACCCCUAAACCAUAUAUAUUCUUGUAGGGGACAAUAAAACAAAUCAAAUGAAAUAAAAGGGAAGUCCAUAGGGGGUCACCCCACCCCCUCUUGUUUGAAAACUUGAAAACGGUCCAGAUCCCCACCCCUAAACCAUAUAUAUUCUUGUAUGGGACAAUAAAACAAAUCACAUGAAAUUAGAUGGAAGUUCCUGGGGUCACCCCCACCCUGUUCAAUUUGAGAAUGUACUUUUAUCUUGUAAACGGUCCAGAUCCCCACCCCUAAACCAUAUAUUAUCUUGUAGGGGACAAUAAAACAAAUCAAAUGAAAUGUAGGUAAAGUCCCCGGGGGUCACCACCACCCCCUUCUGUUUGAAAACUUGUAAAUGGUUGAGAUCCCUACUCGUAAGCCAUAUAUAUUCUUGUAUGGGACAAAAAAUCAAAUCAAAUGAACAUGGGACCAUAUGAAUGGGGAGUUAUCGGAGCUUUGUUUGGGAGACUUCGUAACAGCAUCCUGUUACAAUUACUUCUUGUU
rnacentral:lncRNA from 1 species